AUUGAACGCUGGCGGCAUGCCUUACACAUGCAAGUCGAACGGUAACGCGGGGCAACCUGGCGACGAGUGGCGAACGGGUGAGUAAAGCAUCGGAACGUGCCCAGUAGUGGGGGAUAGCCCGGCGAAAGCCGGAUUAAUACCGCAUACGACCUAUGGGUGAAAGGGGGGAUCGCAAGACCUCUCGCUAUUGGAGCGGCCGAUGUCAGAUUAGGUAGUUGGUGGGGUAAAGGCCUACCAAGCCGACGAUCUGUAGCUGGUCUGAGAGGACGACCAGCCACACUGGGACUGAGACACGGCCCAGACUCCUACGGGAGGCAGCAGUGGGGAAUUUUGGACAAUGGGCGCAAGCCUGAUCCAGCCAUGCCGCGUGCGGGAAGAAGGCCUUCGGGUUGUAAACCGCUUUUGUCAGGGAAGAAAUCCUUUGGGUUAAUACCUCGGGGGGAUGACGGUACCUGAAGAAUAAGCACCGGCUAACUACGUGCCAGCAGCCGCCGUAA
rnacentral:rRNA from 1 species